GACGAACGCUGGCGGCGUGCCUAAUACAUGCAAGUAGGACGCAGUUGCGAACGGGUGAGUAACGCGUAGUUAACGGCCUAUUAGAGGGGGAUAACUAUUGGAAACGAUAGCUAAUACCGCAUACUAGUAGAUGGUACUGCGUGUUAUUGGCUAGUAGGUAGGGUAAGGGCCUACCGAGGCGACAAUACAUAGCCGACCUGAGAGGGGGAUCGGCCACACUGGGAAUGAGACACGGCCCAGACUACUACGGGAGGCAGCAGUAGGGAAUCUUCGGCAAUGGGGGGAACCCUGACCGAGCGACGCCGCGUGAGUGAAGAAGGUUUUCUGAUCUUAAAGCUCUGUUGUUAAGGAAGCGGUACUUAACCAGAAAGGGACGGCUAACUACGUGCCAGCAGCCGCGGUAAUAC
rnacentral:rRNA from 1 species